GGCGAAUUUUGACCCAUUUUUAACAAGGCUCUUUAUGAAUAUUUCUCUCCCAAUUUUUCAGAUAAUUAGUUCACAUUUUAGCUAAAGAUUCUGAAAAUUUAAAGGAAAAAUAUUUAUAACUUUCCUCAAAAAUGAACAUUUUAUCAAAGGAAAUUUGGCAACUCUCGAAUGUUCAUACGGCGUUCUUCCUUAGCACGGCAGAAAGGCGUGCAAUAUUUGAAUGGGAAAAAAAUAAAAAUUAAACAUUUAUUAAAGGUUAUUUUUCACCAGAAUUCUUCUCCGUAACUGGAAUGAAAAAUAGACACCUUGUUUUUGAUCCACCCUGUGCCGAAGUAUAGAGUUUAAUGCACAAGGAAACUUAGAUGAAUUCAUAAAUUAUUCGUGUAUGAGUUUUUUAUUUUCACAGGAGGAGGAAGGGCUUCCGUUGCCUCAAUGGGCUCACAGUAUUGAUCGGGAAAGACUCCGAUCACUCGGCAAUAUCGGAGUUUUUAAACACUUUGCAACACCCGCCAUGAACAAACUCAAAUCAGGUGUCCUCAUAAAUGAGAUCUUAAGGAAUAUGAAAUCAAAAGCAAACACAAGGGAAAAAUUCGAGCGUCAGAUGAUUUAUACUCUGCACACGAUAGUACCAUUGGUAAUAUCUGGCGAGGUCUAAACGUUACCUCAGACAUUGAGAGAUUAUUCCCUUCCUAUGGAGCAGCGGUGAUAAUUGAGCUCCACGAAAUCAAUGGAAAUAUCGAGUGAAAGUAAGUCCCAUUUAAUUUUGUUUCAAAAAUGUUGAGACGUCAGUUAGACAAUGGCAUUUGCUGUUAGUCUGUUUCCAUAUUAUGUUAUCAUUAUCAGACUGAAAAAGAUAUUCUGGAGGUAUUAUUUUGACUUAAAGUAUCGUUUUUUGUCAACAAAAUUUGGUCCUUUGAGUUGAAUUUGUGCGUAUUUAACUGAGCAUCGGAUUUUUUUUGGUUGAAAAAUUGUCGUUUUGUUAUCGUUAAGUUUAAGUUGGAAAAACAAUAGCAAAACAAC
rnacentral:lncRNA from 1 species